rnacentral:misc_RNA from 1 species
AUUUUUGUGGAUUUUAUGCGAGUGAUUGUAAUUGAAAUCAUUUUUAAUUUAAUGUUUGUGUUCGUACUUUUUAAACAUGCCGAUUAGUUCGAACAGCAUUGGACCGUUACUGACAAGUUUGGUUUUCAUAACUAGUAUCUCAUCACUCACUCUUAAGACGAAGGACGUAAUUUUUGAGGAUGGCGAUAGCAUUAUUCUUAACUGUACCUAUUAUAAAAGUUACACUGAAGACAUCGCUAACAGAUACAUCCAAUGGCAGAAACUGAUAGGCAAUGUAUUUAAAAAUAUAGCGCUGUUUUCGCCUCCUGGUGGUCCAUGGCCUUUCAUUCCCUAUGAAAUGAAGCCUUUUUACAACAACAGGAUAGAGCUUAUAGCACCAAACAUCUCGCUUUCUGCUGUAAUGAUUAUAAAGGACCCUAUCUGUAGUGACCAAGGAGUUUACCGAUGCUGGAUAGAAUACUAUUCCGGGAAUUCAGUAAACGUACAAACCAGUGACUCUGUUGUAAAAUUAAAAUCCAAUCCAAAAGAACCUGAGAAGUUUCAGUUGUUUCCAAACAAACUAGACGAGAAUCAGUCCAUUAGUAUUUUAUGUAGUGCUAAUGUCGGAAGUCCGUUGGGGAAUAUUAAGAUCUGGAAAAUAUCUCAAUACACAGAUACACCUGUAUUGAUACACGAAUCCAAAGCUACAGCAAAUAAACCAGAAAAUUGUACCGAAUUUUUAGAUGAUAACUUUACUUACUCUGUAACGAGAGACGACAACGGAGCUCUAUUCCGAUGUUCAUCGCAAAACAACUUGACCCAAGGCCCAGGACCUUACAGGGAUUCCUUAAAGAUUUCUGUGAUUUGUCUGUAUAUUUACAUUUUUCCAUUAUAUAUUCAUUAAGUUAUUGUUUACUGUUGACAUUCGGUAAGUUUUGUUUAAAAAUGAACGGCAAAUUAAUUUUUAAAUAAAAAACACACAACAUAAGAUUAUUGAGCUGAAGCUGGAUUAAUAUCAUAUAUUGGCAAGAAUUGCCUACGUUUUAAAGAUCUAAAUCAUCUAAUUUAAACUUCUAGUGUGAACUGUUAAUGAGAGGAACUGAUGAAUGAAAGGUGAUUAAAAAACAACAACAAUAUUAUUAAUCAUAAUUUCAACGAGAGGGAAUUGUAAUUUAAUUUUAAUCUUUUUAUCAGUUAUAAAAUUCAAAUAAAUAAUUUCAUUUUUUUUUCAAAUAAGUUGAAAACGGUUGAUAACUUAUUUUUCAAUUACAGAUGGGCCUGAUAAGCCUGUAAUCACUUUGACUCCUCUCAAGUCUCUCUAUUUUAAUGGAGAUUACCUCACAAUCCAGUGUAUUACUGAUAGUAACCCGCCACCCGUUUUCACCUGGAAAUUUCAGCCUCACAACAAAUCCUUAGAAACCGUGAUAAAAAAGUCUCCUGAUAUUUCAAAGCUAGUGUUCGAUACACUUAAAACUACCGAUUCUGGGACUUACAGUUGCAUGGCAACCAAUGCAGCUAGACUAAAUUCUGCGAACGCUACCUCCUCUGUUUCUAUAUAUGUAAGUCAUUCUGAGAUUAGCAACCAGGGCUGCAAUCAGUGCGGAUAUAUCACGGUAUGUCAGCAAUAUGAUGGAAAGACUGAGUGUGUCACCAACAAAUGGGUUCCUAUUGCAAUUGUGUUUAUUCUCAUUAGUGUUUCAUUUGCGGUUGCUUCGAUCGUUUUGAUCAAGAAUAAAAGUGCCUCACAAGACGACGGGGGGUACCAGGCACACGCAGAAAUUGCCAACACGCACGUAUAUUCAGCAUUACAAUCUCACCAAGUGGAAACUGGUGUAUAUACAACGUUACCAUCUCACCAACCGGAAACUGGGGUAUACACAUCGUUACAAUCUCACCACCCGGAAACUGGGGUUUAUACAUCGUUACAAUCUCACCAGCCAGAAACUGGGGCAUAUACAUCGUUACAAUCUAACCAGCCAGAAACUGCGGCAUACACAUCGUUACAAUCUCAACAACCGGAAACUGGGGUUUAUACAUCGUUACAAUCUCACAAGCCAGAAACUGGGGUAUAUACAUCGUUACAAUCUCACCAACCGGAAACUGGGGUAUAUACAUCGUUACAAUCUCAGCGACCAGAAACUGAUGAAUAUACAUCGUUACAGUCUCAGCGACCAGAAACUGGGGAACACGGAUCGUUACAAUCUCACAAACCGGAAACUGGUGAAUAUACAUCAAUUGACAAUGUAUCGUGAUUUUUAACUAGGUUUGAGAGGACAGGAAGUGCGUUUUAUACAGAUGUAACUAUAUUGUAUUAUUUGGUAAUUGUUUUAUCAACGUCAUUAAAGCAUAAUGACAGAUCAUACCAAUGCAAUUUGUAAAUAAAUAAUCAGUUUUUC